rnacentral:rRNA from 1 species
AGGGGGAUAACAGUUAGAAAUGACUGCUAAUACCGCAUAAGCGCACGGGGCCGCAUGGCCCUGAGUGAAAAACGAUAGUGGUAUAGGAGGGACCCGCGUCUGAUUAGGUAGUUGGUGAGGUAACGGCCCACCAAGCCGACGAUCAGUAGCCGACCUGAGAGGGUGACCGGCCACAUUGGGACUGAGACACGGCCCAAACUCCUACGGGAGGCAGCAGUGGGGAAUAUUGCACAAUGGGGGAAACCCUGAUGCAGCGACGCCGCGUGAGUGAAGAAGUAUUUCGGUAUGUAAAGCUCUAUCAGCAGGGAAGAAGAAGGACGGUACCUGAGUAAGAAGCCCCGGCUAACUACGUGCCAGCAGCCGCGGUAAUACGUAGGGGGCAAGCGUUAUCCGGAUUUACUGGGUGUAAAGGGAGCGUAGACGGCGAAGAAAGUCUGAAGUGAAAGGCGGGGGCUCAACCCCCGGACUGCUUUGGAAACUGUUUGACUGGAGUGCAGGAGAGGUAAGUGGAAUUCCUAGUGUAGCGGUGAAAUGCGUAGAUAUUAGGAGGAACACCAGUGGCGAAGGCGGCUUACUGGACUGUAACUGACGUUGAGGCUCGAAAGCGUGGGGAGCAAACAGGAUUAGAUACCCUGGUAGUCCACGCGGUAAACGAUGAUCACUAGGUGU